GGAGAACCUUCCACGCCACCUGAGAAGUACGACCCCCCUGCUGUCGCGGUGGACUGUCUGUCCACGCCUGGCGGGUCCGGCUGCUUGAUGAUGCAGUGAAGUUCUUCUGUUUCCUUGCUGGCCUUCGCUCGGCUUGCUUGAGCGCCGUGGACGGUGGGGCGACGCCGUCCGCGGCUACUGUGGGACAACUGUCUGUCUCUCCUUCUUUCCACGGGUUUCUUCGCUGUGUGUGGGAGCUCUGCGGCUGCGUCCUCCUGACGGGUCGGGUAUCGAGCGUCCCUCUGUGUCGUUAAUCGCACCCUCGUGUUACGGUCAGUUCUGUCUGACGUUCGCACGAGCCUCUCACCUCUGCCGGCCUGUACCAGACGCUGUGUUGUACUGCGUUCGUCCAUUUGUGCCUUUGACCCCUAAGGGCUCUCCGUCUCCAGCUGGAAGGCGGAUGGUGGGGUUUCUGUUUGUUUCACUCGACAAUCUCUGCCCUUUGACUGGAUCGUCUGGUCGAGCCACAUUAGUGUUCUUAUCGAUGCGGUCGGCUCUACGUCUACGGUGCCGUUUCCUGCUUUUCUCGUGCCCCCCUUCUUCUCUUCCCUUCUGUCCCUUUUUCAAAAUGCCGGCCGACUCUUCCCUAAUGCGGCAUCUCAGUCACAAUCCGCUUCACGAGAUGCUCGCUUGCUUCUGGCGCUGGUGUGAACCUCAGUCCCAGGCCACACGGCUCUGCCCUACCUGCUCCCUCUGGUUGUUAUCGCACAUGUAUUACACGUCUAUCGCAUUUGAAUCAAUCAUAGGCCCAAUGUCAUGUCACAGACACACUGGUUUAUACAACUGCUUUCUGAAUUGGUUACAGAAGGAGGGAGAAAUGUUGUACAUUUGUCUUUACCGGCGAUCUGGCUUUUCGGGCGGACUCAGCCUCUGUCUGGGGCGCUUGACUUCAGCCUGAAGCGCGUCCUGCUCUAUUUUGCGAGCUGGGCGUUUUGCACACGCGGCCCACGGCCUCCGGGCCUGCGCAGGCCCUGCCGAGAAGUCACCGUCAGUCCCUCGUAAGGGGCGCGUUUUUCCCUCGCAACUUUCAGGAUUUUCUCCUUGUCUUUGGCUUUCGGCGUUCUCCUUUUCGGCCACGUGUGGGUUUGAGUCCGCACUUAUCCCCAUCCAGCUUCCCGGGCACCUACGUCACUAUGCGGUGGUAGGUUGGUGACAUCGGCCCACACUUCUCUCUUUCCUUCUGCCCUCUGUCUCCCGCUGCGCACUUGGUGCCGUGAACCCCUUCCUCUACGCCCCCUGCGUUUUCUUCCCUGCGUUCCGCCUCCUCGGCUGCAAUCUCCACUGGUCUGUCUUCAAGCCAAGGAAUUCUUUCUUCUGCCCGUCCCGGUCUUCUGUCAUCCACUCUCGUGUACCUUUCCCUUUAGUGCCGGUGCCUUUCAACUCCAGCACCUCCAUUUGGCUCUUUGCUAUGGGUUCUCCCUCUUCCUCCACAGUCUCCUUCACGUGACGUCCCUUCGCCUCUCGAGUGCAGCUGCCUUGAGUUCCGCGGUACUUGGGGUUCUGCGGUGGGUACUCUGCAGUACUUUUCCGUGAAGUCUGGCACCUGCCGGCUCCCCCAGGCGGCCUCUCUGCCCGCCUGCUUUCCGACGCGUGUGGGUGCCUUCCUGCAUCUCGAGCGCCUCAUAAUUGUUUACUGGAAACUGGACAUUUUAGAUAAUGUAUCGUAGCAACAUGGGGUUCUGCCCCCCCAUCGGGGGCCCGUUCCUGUCCUUCGCUUGCUUAUCUGUCCAGUGACUGGAUCGUCUAGUGACGUCUCCUGCCCUCCCGGGGUGUCCAGCUCCUGACGCUGCUCCCAGGGGCCAGAGUGGGGGUGUGUGCGCCCUGCUUCUCCUGCAGGGAAAGCCCUCCGGCGGGGGGCGGGCGCAGGGGCCCCGUGUGCCGGGCUGCAGCCUCCGGAGCGCGUCUCUGUCCUCACGAAGCCGAGGGCGGGGGCGGUCCUGGUUCAGAGCCCGAUGCCUCGCGCCUUUCCUAAUGAAUUUUCCCAGAUUUUCUCGGGGAGACGUUUCAUGUGCUGCUUGCCUUCAGGACCGCGUCCACAGGCUUCAAGUGGUGGUUCUGUGUGAAAGCGUGUCCUCUGGUUCCACCUGGAGAGGCUCGGCGGCUGCCUGCAGCUCUCCUGGUGGCAUCCCUGCAUCGGCCCGGUCUGUGUCCCCGCUGCCCCCCGGGGGCGCGGCCGUGAGGGUCUUCGCCUCCAUGAGGCUGUGAGACGGUGCCGCUCGCGUCACUGAUGCCUCCCACUGGUCACUCAACACGUUGGACCCUUUAUUCCGGGGCGGUACGGUCACGGGUUGAACCACGUCCCCCGAGAAGAUGGGUCAGAGCCCUAGCUCCUGGUCUGUGCCCACGGGGUCUUAUUCAGAAAGAGGGUCUUUGCAGACGCGAUUGGCUCCGAGGAGGCCAGCAGGUGUGCCCUAACCCAGUGCGUCCGGGGUCCUUGUCAGAAGGGGUCACGUGGUGGCGUCACCAUGCGGUGACGGAGGGCAGGGAACGGAGUGCCAGGUGCCGCCAGCACGUGGGGCUGGGCAGAGAUGGGGAGGGCCCCCACGGGUUGGCGAGGGCCACAGCCCAGUGGUGCUCCGACUCGGAACUUCCGGAGGGUUGGCAGCUGUGUCAGCAGAGGUGACCGUCCGGCAUCCCCAGGGGUGGACACGGACACCGCGCGGUUUCGUCUCCUUCCGGGAUGUCCCCCACGUCCUGUCCUGCGGCCCCCUUCCCCUGGAUGCCACCCAGCUCUCCCUAGAGGACGUGUCGCGGGAGCGUGGCCGCCAGCCACGGCCACCAGCACUCCCCUGUCACGCAGCCUCUGCCUCGGGGCCUGGCCCACGGUCUCUGAGGGGUCAUGGGACCCCCCCCCCCAACUCCCCGCAGGCUUCCUGCACCUGCCGGAAGGAGGCGUCUCUUCCUCUGGGGUUUGUGGGGCCAGCCCGUGGCUCCUCCUGGAGAAACUCCGCCACCCGAGGCCGACGUGGAGGGAAGCAGAUCUGGAGGCGGGUUUGCGAGCGGUUCAAGCGUCUGGAUCCGGCCGGGCCCGCAGGCCUGUGAGCGUGUCGCCGGGCUGAGGACACGACUCCCCUCCUGCUCAGGCCGGUCUGACUGGUGCUGCCACGGCUACGGGAGCCACGCGGCGUACAAGACACAGCAAGUGUACGUGGCCAGACACGAUCUUCUCCUCCUGCGUGCGGACGGGGACGGCCCAGCUUCGGAGGCAGAUGAGAACCAAGCGAUGCCCCGAAGAGGCAGGAAGAAGGAGGCGCUGGGCCGUGUGGUCUGCCGGAGCCCACGGAGGACGCUGCCUCGCUCUGCACCUGGAAUACUCUUGGGAAACACAAACUGGGCCGCGCCGGCGGUCCACGGCGUGUGCCCGUCGGGCGGCGCAGGUUGUUGAAAUACCGCGGGGGCUCCUGUGCCGGCCCAGACGAGCGGCCCCCGGGCCCCCCGCGCCCGUGCUCCCCGCCCGGCCAGCCCUGGGCGGCCACAGGCUCCCGGAGACGUCACGCUCCCAUUAACUGACCUUAG